UCCCGCGCCAUCCACCAACCCUCCGCUGCCUCCCGCGCCAUCCGCCACCCGCUGAUCCACUCGGCCUCCACCGCUGCCGAUCCACUCAUUCUCCGCUGCCACUCAGAUUGGCCUCCGUCCCCGCCACCGGUCCUGCUUCCCCGCGGACAAAUACGAGCGUGAGCAGCCCCCCACCGGUCCAAGAAUGCGGGAACGGCCCCGCCGCUGCUGCCCGCCGGUCUACCUCUACUGCCCACACCAACCUCUCAAUCCCUCCUCUUCCUGCUGCAUCUCCCACGCCCCAGCCACCCCUCAUCCAGCGCGCCUCCGCGCCGGGACGCCGCUGCUCCUCAUUCAGUGCGGUGCUCCUCCGCAGCCGGCGGCCCUUGCUCCUUCGCCAGCGCGCCUCCACGCCGGGCCGCCGCCACUCCUCAUCCUCAGCCCUGUCGCCGCCUCGCGCGCCUCUGCGCCUGGCCACCGCGAGCGUGCGUCCGCUCCCCGCCUCCCCGCGCACAAAGCGGCCGGCCCUCCACAUUUCCCACGACACGCCCGGGGAGCUCCUUGUGUGAAAAAUCCCUCAACAAUUGGCGCGCCGAUGACAUCCAUAUCCUUUCCAGUAAAUCAGGUUCAUAAAGUAGCAAGUAUUUAUGUCCAGUUAUAUGCUUAUACUAAUUUCUUCACUUCCCCAUGGUUUUACCUUCAUCCACAUGCAUCUCCCUUAGAAUUAGAGGAAUUUUCUCCGUUUAAUGGGAAAGCAACUGGUUGAUGUGAAAAUCUGUGAAAACAACAAUUGAAGUGGGGUAAAUCAUUGGGAUUUUGUGCUGUGUCUCUAUCGGAAGUUUGAAGUCGCCCCGUGUCCUUCGUUACAUAGGACUAUGCGUGUCUGUACAUUGGACAAAGAGGACAAUAUGAUGUUCACAAUGAUGCACAUGCUUCAGAUUGACUAUAUAGAUCCUAUGAUUAAAGAGGGACAAGUUUACUAUAUGGAGCUAUACGAGGUAUGAGCUUGAGGCGCUCUUAGUGGUGCGCCGUUGUGGGAGGCGCAUGCACUGUGGUGGGCCGAGGUGUGUACUACGUGGGAGAUGUGAGGAAAAUGCUCAAUUCCUA